AGGUUUGUUAAAAUACAGCCCUUAGAUUUACCAUUGUGUUAGGUUUGUUAAAAUACAGCCAUUAGGUUUACCAUUAUGUUAGGUUUGUUAAAAUACAGCCAUUAGGUUUACCAUUGUGUUAGGUUUGUUAAAAUACAGCCCUUAGAUUUACCAUUGUGUUAGGUUUGUUAAAAUACAGCCAUUAGGUUUACCAUUAUGUUAGGUUUGUUAAAAUACAGCCAUUAGGUUUACCAUUGUGUUAGGUUUGUUAAAAUACAGCCCUUAGGUUUACCAUUGUGUUAGGUUUGUUAAAAUACAGCCAUUAGAUUUACCAUUAUGUUAGGUUUGUUAAAAUACAGCCCUUAGAUUUACCAUUGUGUUAGGUUUGUUAAAAUACAGCCAUUAGAUUUACCAUUGUGUUAGGUUUGUUAAAAUACAGCCCUUAGGUUUACCAUUAUGUUAGGUUUGUUAAAAUACAGCCCUUAGGUUUACCAUUAUGUUAGGUUUGUUAAAAUACAGCCAUUAGAUUUACCAUUGUGUUAGGUUUGUUAAAAUACAGCCCUUAGGUUUACCAUUAUGUUAGGUUUGUUAAAAUACAGCCCUUAGAUUUACCAUUGUGUUAGGUUUGUUAAAAUACAGCCCUUAGGUUUACCAUUGUGUUAGGUUUGUUAAAAUACAGCCCUUAGGUUUACCAUUAUGUUAGGUUUGUUAAAAUACAGCCCUUAGGUUUACCAUUAUGUUAGGUUUGUUAAAAUACAGCCCUUAGGUUUACCAUUGUGUUAGGUUUGUUAAAAUACAGCCCUUAGGUUUACCAUUAUGUUAGGUUUGUUAAAAUACAGCCAUUAGGUUUGUUAAAAUACAGCCAUUAGGUUUACCAUUAUGUUAGGUUUGUUAAAAUACAGCCAUUAGGUUUACCAUUGUGUUAGGUUUGUUAAAAUACAGCCCUUAGAUUUACCAUUGUGUUAGGUUUG